AAGUAAUUUGUCUACAGUCGAAACAAUAACAAAAAAAUUAAGAGGAAACUCCACACCAAAACAAGACGAAUGCCUGACAUCUUCCUUGUGAUCGGCAGGAGUUCGGGCAUGUGGUCUUAAAUGCAAAGCUAACCUAUCUGGGAAUCAUUAACCGUAUUCCACGGGUUAAUGCAACCAACAACACAAACUAAAGAUCGUCUGUUCCUUCAACCGGGGAUUUGAAUGACCCGGGACAUGUUAUAGUCAUACAGUAUUCAUGUAUGUUGUUGACUUGAGUUUUUGGACCAUGUAGGCUAUUCAUAUUCAAUAUACAGUACGUAGCUGCAGUCUUUUAUGUAACACCGUUCACCGUACAUGCAGGAUCAUUUCAAAAAUCAUCCUUGACAAACUUUGAACCAUUUUCUGAAUCUUUCCUUGCAGUUACUUUAAUUGGCCGACGUUGAUACCAUUUUGUUUAUUCAUUUUGGAAUUCCGCAAGCCUAGCCGAGAGACCCAACCACAGUCCCUAAGAAAAGGCAGAUCAUGUUUGCUUUAGAACAAGUUAAGUGGCUACAUAUCACCAACACAAUUCUGCGCAACGUUCAUCCUUCAAGCUUUUGUUGUCAUUGUCACCGGAAAUAGUUUUAAUUUAGUUUGAAAAACGCAAGUAAAGGCAGGCGAAACCAUUUUUGUGCAUGUAUUACGAAAGGUUUUUUCUUUGGCCGUCUGUGCGAUUAUAUGAUGUUACCGUAAAAUUUAUUACCUCUCUGUAAAAGCUUGAAAAAUAAAUGUGAUCAGAGUGUAUGAAUCUACACAUUGGACCUGUAA